UACGAGAGGCCCAAACGUUAUUCGGAAUUACUGGGCUUAAAGAGUUCGUAGGCGGCGCAGAAAGUAGGGUGUGAAAUCCCUCGGCUUAACUGAGGAACUGCACGGGAUACUGCUUGACUUGAGUUCGGGAGAGGGAAGCGGAAUUCCGGGUGUAGCGGUGAAAUGCGUAGAUAUCCGGAGGAACACCGGUGGCGAAGGCGGCUUCCUGGACCGACACUGACGCUGAUGAGCGAAAGCUAGGGGAGCAAACGGG
rnacentral:rRNA from 1 species